rnacentral:rRNA from 1 species
CCUACGGGAGGCAGCAGUAGGGAAUCUUCCACAAUGGGCGAAAGCCUGAUGGAGCAACGCCGCGUGGGUGAAGAAGGUCUUCGGAUCGUAAAACCCUGUCGUCAGAGAAGAAAGUGCGUGAGAGUAACUGUUCACGUUUCGACGGUAUCUAACCAGCAAGCGACGGCUAACUACGUGCCAGCAGCUGCGGUAAUACGUAGGUGGCAAGCGUUAUCCGGAUUUAUUGGGCGUAAAGGGAACGCAGGCGGUCUGUUAAGUCUGAUGUGAAAGCUCUCGGCUUAACCGGGGUAGUGCAUUGGAAACUGGGGGACUAGAGUGCAGAAGAGGAGAGUGGAACUCCAUGUGUAGCGGUGAAAUGCGUAGAUAUAUGGAAGAACACCAGUGGCGAAAGCGGCUCUCUGGUCUGUAACUGACGCUGAGGUUCGAAAGCGUGGGGAGCAAACAGGAUUAGAUACCCCUGUAGUC